GAUCAGCUACAACUCGACGUGGACCGUUCAACACAAUGCAGUCACAAAAGAGGAAAGACUGGUGACAAGGAAAAGAGCUGCCACUGAGAGAGAGCGAGAAGGAGAGAGAGAGAGUGUGUGUGUGAAUGGUGAAGCUGGACUGAAAGAGAUACCAGGAGCCCUGGGUCUGGGAAUCAAACACAGUAUGAAGCUGCCUGGACCGGAUGAUGGCGCUGCUAUACAGACUGGCUGCACCUUGCAGAAAAACUCCCUCUUUGUAGAUGAAUGAGUGGCCCAGUCAGGAUGACUUACUGCAGGGGUCUUAACACACAGUACUCCAUCUCAGAGGCUAAAAACAGACACACCCUUAACAAGGCCUUAUUA